AUGCACUCGACCCACAUUCACCCCCACAUGCACACAGCUCCUUCCCCCGAGCUGCAAGGACAGGAUGUUGAGGCGGAUCCUGUUUGGGACUCAGCAGAGGCGGGGGGACAAGGGCACCUGUGUAAAUCAGGCUGCCACAGCUCCGAGGAGGAGGAGGAAGAGGAGGAGGAGGAGGAGGAAGGCUCAUUCAUCAGUGUCCUGGCGAAAGACGGAGGGCCGUCUCUCAGGUGGCCCUUGGAGCUGCUGGGCUACACACACACGGAGCCCCAUCUGCCCUACAGCUGCAACCCCUGCCACGCUCAGACGCACACACUCCGCCUCUACACACACCGGGAGGACGCACACACACGCCACAGUACCCCCGCCGAGAGUGAAGACACACACACACGCCGCCUCUACACACACACGGAGGACGCACAAACACGCCACAGUACCCCCGUCGCGAGCGAAGACACACACACACGCCGCCUCUACACACACACGGAGGACGCACAAACACGCCACAGUACCCCCGCCGAGAGUGAAGACACGAUCCCUAAUCUGACACCAACACAAGACACGGUGUGCUGUGUGACACCCAACGCACACGACGAGACGUCCUCCCAUAUCACGUCAGCAUCAGAGACACACACACACUCAGGAACACCUGAAGCAGGGGAAGACACACACACACACUCCAGAACACCUGAGGCAGGGGAAGACACACACACACACUCAGCGGCACCAUGCAAGCACACACAUGGUAAAAGGAGGCCUGGUGUAGACUGCACAGAGCGCCCCGUCACACACACACACACGCUUACACACCUCAAAAGGGCCCCACAUGCAAACACACACAUGCUGCUCUCACAGAGCCCCAGCACAUUGGCACGAGCUCAUCUCAAGCGGAGAAGCACAGCGGAGGAGGAAGACGAGGAGGAAGACAUGGGAUUGGGAUGCCGAGAAACGGAGGCCGUGUUUGUGACGGCGGAACCCGAGCGGCCAUCGCCUCCGGCCAGGCCCAAGCGCCGCCGCAAGCACAGCGGGAGGAAGACGAAGGGGGCGGCGGCGGCGGCAGACACGAACACAACGUGUGACAAAGGACAGCGAGGAGGACCGCACGCGAGGAGGAAGAGGAAGAGAGCCGCAGCGGAGGGGGUGAGUUCCAGCCGGGUUGCCAUGGCGACGCCGGAGCCUAGCCUGAGGAGCGUGGUGGUGAAGUCGUUCUCCGCUCCGCCGAGCAAGCGGGGCGAAACGAGACGCCGCGCGGAGAGAAGGGUGGCGAAGGCUCUGCGCCUCGAGCGAUGGACGCCCUUCUCCCCUGAACCCGCCUCCGGCUGCUCGGCGACGACGGCUGACGACCACAGCUGGAGUUACGACUUUGACGUCUAUAAACAAGAUGACAGCUACAAGGUAACGCCCAGAGACAGGCACAGUUAUGAAGACCGAGAGACAGAUAUGCGCUGCGAGGCGUGGGAUGACCCCGCAUGUGACGACCCUGCAUGGGAUGACCCCCAAUGGGAUGACCCCUCACCCGCCCGGGUCAUCUUUCGGCCUUCCUGGAGUCGAGGCAACAGUCAGCCUCGUUCUUACAUCUGUGUACCGAGCUACAACCCAGGCUUCAGGCACUGUAGGGACAGCCUCAACAGUGAAGGACCCCACCGAUUAGUGACAACAGACAGGCACUGUAGAGACAGCCUCAACAGUGAAGGACCCCACAGAUUAGUGACAACAGACAGGCACUGUGAGGACCGCCUCAACAGUGAAGGACCCCACAGAUUAGUGACAACAGACAGGCACUGUAGAGACAGCCUCAACAGUGAAGGACCCCACAGAUUAGUGACAACAGACAUCACGGGCCUGCAGCACUUCAGGGUAGCCUACGGCACAGCCGGCCAUCACAGGGACAGUUGUGGCCACAGGAGGACGUAUCAGUCAUUACGUGACAGGGGAACGAGCAGAUGCAUUGUGGGCCGGUGUAAUGGGCACAGAGAGAGUGGAGGAUGGGAGGAGGAGGAGGAGGAGGAGUGCAGGAGGAGGUGGGAGAGCAGGACACUUAGUCCCGAGAGGAGGUGUGAGAACAGGACACUUAGUCCCGGGAGGAGGUGUGAGAGCAGGACACUCAGCCCCCCCGGGAGGAGGUGUGAGAACAGGACACUUAGUCCCGGGAGGAGGUGUGAGAGCAGGACACUCAGCCCAGGGAGGAGGUGGCACAGGCACAGGGAAAGCAGAGAGAGGGACUACAUGAGGCCCAGGAGUCCCAGACUAAGGGGAGGACCGUGGGCCUACAGCCCCAGAGAGGUGAGCCUGGAUCGGGAGGAGGAGGAGGACGCGCGGCACAGCCCCGGUUCCACGCGGAGCGCCGGCUCCUCCACCAACACCAGCAUCUCGGAGCUCAGCUCCGACUGGGGCGCUGCUGCUGCUGGACAUGUUGGCCGGUGCUCGGGCAGAACCACCACGCAGGGCGCUGCCAACCAGCGGGCGGCGCCACGGCGAUCAGGUCCAGCCGCCCACGGAGAUAAACACGCGGCAACCACGCCACCAUCGCUCAUGCCCACGAAGAGAGACACAGAGGGGGGUUGUCAGCCAGACAAACGUGCCCACUUUGUGAGGAGACAUUUGGCGGGAUGGAGCUGUGGCAGCGGCGGCGGUAGCAAAAGAGACUCGGGCGCAGGGGGGCGGCGAGCGAGAGAGGAUCUGCCCACACAAGCGCUCGCACGCGCAGCAGCCGACCCAGCGGGAGGGGUGCCCCCGGAGGACAAAACCCUGGAAGUAACGAGAACAAACGGCGCGCUGUCACACAACAAGCACAACGCCCACGCACGCUGCCGCGCUCCAGUCAAGCACACGCCGCUGUUGCCGCUGAUAGGGAAGCAGCCCGCGGUGAGGAGGGCGCUCGGCAAAGCAGCCAGCCACAAAGUCAAGAGAGGCUUCCGGAAAGAUCCGCUGCACGCCGGUGCAGACAGCAGCAAGCUCAUCGGCAGGGAAAGGAAAAGAAUAAGCCCCCUGGAGAACGGGGGAGAGACCAUGAUCAAUUCCCCCACUGACGUGACCUCUCUGCAGGCUUGUGUACGACCCACGUCCCCCUCCACAUCGGAUAGAGCCACAGCUGAACGUACUUCAAUCACCACGAUUACCUCUCUACAACAGGAAAGAUCUCCAUCCCCUAAACACGACGACAUCACGCCUCGAUCCGCCCAAUCAGACCGGGAGGAGGAGGGCAGGGGUCACAGAGACCCCGCCCCUCCUCUGAGUGAGCAGCCAAUCAUGUUUAGCGCGGAGGAGAUUGACAAGUACAGGCGCCUACAGCAGCAGGCCAGGCAGCACAUGCAGAGUCAGCUGCAGCAGGUGCCCGCCGAGGUGCCCAUGGACAUGCCCUCGGCCCCUGCCAUCUCUUUGCCCCUCAACACUCCUUCCGCCCCUUUUCCUUCCAUUUGCCCCAUCUCUCCAUCUCCACCCCUCCAUCAUCCCUCUCUCCUCCUCCCCCUCCACCACUCCUCUUCUCCUCUCUGCACUCAUCCCUCUCUCCCUCUCUCCCCCCUCCACUCCUCUUCUCCUCUUCAUCCCUCUCUCCCUCCCCUCCACUCCUCCUCUCCUCUCUGCCCUCAUCCCUCUCUCCCUCUCUCCCCCCGCUCCUUCUCUCUCCCCCUCCGUCCGUCGCCACUUUCCGCUCAUCCGUCGGCGGUGUUGACCUCUCAUCACCCCCCUCUUUUCCUCCUCCCUGCAUCAUCCCUCCAUCCCGCGCCCCUCUACCCUUCUCUGCAUGCAGCUUCUCUCCUCACCUCCCUGCUCUCACACACACACUCUCAAGCAUACGCAGCACACACACACUCUCCAGCAUACACACACACACAUAGACACCAGCUGCACAUCCACCCUCUCACUCACCCCCUCUACGCCCGACAGGACAUACACUCGUUGAUUGGAUCGACUAGUUAGUCCAUGUUACACACACAUACACACCCACACACACACACACACACACACACACACACACACACACACACACACACACAGAUACACACACACACCCACACACAUACACACACUCACACAUUUGUAUUGUUAUAGUUAAUUGAAUCUUCAGUAAUACACCAGGCCCUAAGUACCUUUUUGAGUUUUGUGUUGUGAUUUUUUUCAUAUGGUUGUACUCAGCCAACAUGUCUUUAUAAAAACUGCAUAAUGCAUUACACAUGUAUUCUUAUCCAUGCCUGUUCUUUUGGUCAAUAUGUAGAAGUACACGCCAGUGGUCCUUGCACAGACAGGUACACACACACACACACACACACACACACACACACACACACACACACACACACACACACACACACACGUCAGUGGUCCUUGCCAUUGUGUUAUUCUACCUGCACCAAGUCACAUUUAGAUUCUGGUCACUGCAAGCGUAUGCUUGAUGAAGAGAUCUUUUUUUUUUCUUUUCUUUUCCUGUUUUUUGUAUCUCCAUUUUACCUCUGCCUAUCCCAGUGCAAUCAAACAGAGUACCUGCAGACCUCUCAAUCCUGGCAUCGUUUGCAUAAUUUAACGUUUAUGCAAAUCAGAGGGACCGGUUUGUCCUGGCGUAGAAAACUGGAUUCUAUCAGUGGAGCCACUGGCCAACAAAAAAAAAACAUGCUGAUUUUGAUGUCUUUGAUGCCAGGUGGAAGAGCAUCAAAAAACGUAUCUUCAGUUGAUUACUGGGUUAAAUGCUUAAUCUGGAAAAGAACUUCAGUUGAUUACUGGUUAAAUGCUUAAUCUGGAAAAUGAUUUUGUAACUUCAGUUGAUUACUGGUUAAACUCUUAAUCUGGAAAAGAACUUUGUGGAGUUUAAACCUGAGCAUGCCCUAGUCCCUGAAUCUAAAACGUUUCACACUGUUAAACAGACAACAGGCAAGUGUGUGUGUGUGUGUAUGUGUGUGUGGUGUGUGUGUGUGUUUUUGAAAGA
ensembl:lncRNA